AGCUCUGAUUCUCUUUUUUUUUUUUUAAAUAUUGUGGGUUCAGCUCUGUAUGCUGGUUUUAGAGAAAUCUCUGAUUCUCUUAUUUAUCUUUAAUAUUGUAGAGCUUCUGAUUUUAGAGAAAAGCUCUGAUUCUCUUUUUUUUUUUUUAAAUAUUGUGGGUUCAGCUCUGUAUGCUGGUUUAGGAGUUUUUGUUUGUUCUUAUGACGAGUCUUUGAAUAACUCUCGUAUGUAGUUUUUGUUGUUUGUUAGCUUAGCUGAAUAUGUGAUUUUGUUCUUUAUUAGGAGUUUUUGUUUAUGGUUGAAUAUGUGUUGAUGAUUUGCUCGAUGAGAGUUUAUGAAAGUGAUAUUAGUCCCAGUGAUAGAGAGAACUACAUAUUUAAGUAUCUAAAACUGAUCUGGUCUUACAUUAUUUCAGUGUCUAAAAGUGAUGGAAAAUGAUGAAAAAUGUCUUCCAACUGGUGUUGGUGGUGGACCUAAUGGUGGACAAUAAAGUUGGAUUAGAUGGUGAGAGAAAAGAGAGGAAGUUUGAUGAUAAAGUUGCUAGGGAAAAAUUCAGUAGAGAGGAAGAUGAGUAUGAGUAAGAGUUGGGCAGGAGUACAAAGAGGAGAGUCUCGAGGAUCAUGUUAAAGUACAAAGAAGUUGAGAGAGUCAUUUUAAAAUUUGUCUUAGUUUUUAAUUUUAUAAAACUGCUGAGAAUAUGAAAAUAUUAUUGUUAAACAUGCCUUUUAUACAUUUUCUCCAUUGUAUUAAAUUUUAUGAUAUUUAAUUUAUAAACUGUAGAGAACAAGAAAAGUUACAUGAGUUAUGGUA